GACUGCCAGAGAGACUGAAGGAUUACUGGGAAGUGACUCUUCAACAGCAGACUGGCAAGAAGCUGCUCAGGAAGUCAGCUGCCUAAAGUGGGAGAACCAGGAGAAAAGAGGCUGCCUAAUGAUAUGUUCUGCAGAUGGAUCAGUGCUGGCACUCAAACAACUCUAUUUCUGGUACACAGAAAACAUGCUCCACAACAGAAAAGUUUGGUGAUACAGAGAAUAUUGAAGAAUAUACAUGGAAAGUGAAUUUCAAAAUUGACUCUCCACAUCAGAAGGCUGCUAUUAAGCACUAAGCUCAACCAACCAAGGAACAGAAGUAAUACCAUGGGUACUAUAUGUCCAAUCAAAUUGAAACAACACCUCUCAAAUAUUAAAUAUAAAGUAUUUAUAAGAACAUGAUGGCCUAAAUAUUUGGCAAUAGUCCAGCCAAGGACCUAAGCAUGUGUUUAAUUUUACGCAAUCAAGUAUUUCAAAUUACUUAAAUGGGGUGACUCACAUGCUUAAAGUUAAACCUUAAGUAUUUUGCUGGACUGAGGCUUUACAAACUAAGAAUUCUUUGCUAAAAGCAUUUAUCUAAUAAAUUAUAAUAAGGGAGAAAAUCACAAGUCACAAUGGACAAGCAAAGGAAAAUGCAUUGGAAAAAUUAUGAACUGUCUGCUCUUCACUUCGCAUUGUCUGUUCUUUUCCACAGCUACUGUAGCUAGGAGAUUCGCUUGGUAUGAAUUUGUUGGCCACAGGUAAUACAAUAAUGCUGAGUCCUUCCAAAUACAACACCUUCAGCAAGUCUUUCAGUGCAUGUUAUCUCUGCAAGAGUUCUCUUUCUCCUGACAGCUUGUUCAGUGUAGAAGGAGAGGACAGCAUGUCCAAGGUGUUGUUUGACAAUAUCACUGUUCUUUCCCCUCUCAGGUUGUCAUUUUUUACUAAGGAUUUUCUGUUUGCAGGAGGAGUUCUUUUGCAGGCCCAUUUGCCGGUGAUAUUAUACAGCCACAAAGGAAGUCUGGGAAACCUCAUGCCUCCCCAAAAUAGAUUAAAUUAGAUUGAUAUUCAAACAGUUAUGGGAACAGAACAUGUUGCGGUAUAAGUGAGAGUGCCAUUAUUAGCGCUCUCUUUUGUUAUCUCUUAUUCAGGACUGUGUUGCAACCCAGUUUAUUAAUAGCUGGUGGGACGCAAGUAAGACUUUAUCAAUGUACACAGGAGAGCAUGUGUGUGAAAUUUCAAUGGCAAGGGAGUGUGGUUAGAGGAAAAUCUUUUGUUGUUUUUUUUUCCUGUGGUGUAAUCACAGAGAAAAAAUUCACUUGUGCAUUCAAGUGAUGACGCAUACCAUUCUGGGGAGAACUGCAAAAAUAUCUUUGAAAGGAUGCUGUACCAAGACCGUACAAACCUUUUUAAGAAUGAGCAAACAACCAGUUUUUAAGGAUCUUCAAAAUGCAACACUUCCUAGGUUAUUGCUUUUUAACUUGUCUUGUAAGUGUCAUUUCAUCUUGGAUCAUCAUAGGUUACUGGAAAGCAAUGUGGUGUAGGAGUUAAGGGCUGAGUAGUAUGUGUUAAAAUUAUUUUGUGAUGAUGUUCUGAACUAAUAUCUUAACUCUUCAUGAAUCCGGAUGACAUUUAUGAAUAAUUCAUUCAUUGCACGGUAAGAUGAACUACAGCAAUUUCUUCCCAAGAGUUAUAUGGAAGAGCUAUUGACAAUACAAAAACUGAUGUUAACAAAAGGACAGUGGUAGAGAUGGAACUGAAGAUAGAAGCCAGUGUACAAUUUUUUGGAAAAAUCUGUCAGCACUGAUAGUUUUUCUUACUUUGAUAAAUUAGAAUAUUGUCUGGAAUAUAAAAUUGUACAAAUAUAUGUAAAGCUUUUUUUU